GACGGGAAGGUAUCGGCCUCUCAUUUCUUCCCCCUUCGCCCGCGGUCCCGGGGCUCUGGGUGCGUUUGGCUAGCCUGCUCUGGGUAAGGACUCAGAAGCCCCGAGCUCUCCCGGUUGCAGUCGGAGGGGAUUUGGUACUAGGAACCGGGGAGGGGGGUGGGGGUCUGCACUGCAACCCAGAUCAGCCCCCACCCCCAUUACAGUCCGCAUGCUUUAGUAGACUUUCCUUCUCCACUCUUUCUUCCUCUCCCCCUCUCUCUCUUUCUCCCUCUCCGGACAGCUUUUCCUUUCCUUUGCAUUGAUUGAGAGUUCAUUAGAGUUCACCUUUCUGCAAGGAAUGGGUUGUUUGUUGUUGUUUUAAAGUCCCCCCCCUCUCUCUUCCCUUUCUCUCUUUCCUUGUUUUUCCUGCAUGUUCAACAUAUGUCCCUCCUCCUUACCCCUCUCCCCAACCCCCACCUUUUCAGAAAAAAAAAAAAACAACCUGAGAUUGUACUUUUGUACAGGAGGUUCAAAUUACAAAUGGCAAUUUUAUGCACUUCGCCGUAUUAACGCUGCCGCCUGGGCAGAGCUCAUGUGACCCCUCCGUGGAUUAACAUUCUGCUUUAAAAAAAUACCUCUUGUUUUCUUUUUUUUUCCUUUCACUUUUGAAACCCUGAGAGCACUGUAGGGAGUAGGAAAGUGUGGGCAAGGGGCCUUUGGCCGCUGCUUUCCCUCUGCGCCAGUUGGGUCUUUGUGAUAUAAAAUUAUCCCAGAGCCGGGAACAGUGCUCUACCAAUGGCGCGCUCCGCGCCUGGGCGCGGGCUCCGGGUUGGAGCGAGCCAAUGCCGGGGUUUCUUUGUGUUUCUGCGAGAGCGACUCUCCCGGUCCUGAGUCAGAUAACAGCGGGUGCCUGAGCCUCGCCGGCUUUCUCCGGUCGUCACCGGCCUUGUCUGGGCUCCGCAAGCGCCCCACGUCUGCUCCCAGCCUCUCUCCCGCUUCCUCUCCUCUCUGACGGCCUCACUCUUUCUCUCUCCGCCCUUUUCUCCCUUGUCUCUCCUCCUCCGAGCUGAGCUCAGGGAUCAGGCAAAGACGCCAGACCAAGACUCUGUCUCUCGCCGGGGUUUCCUUCCUGGGCUGGGGUUGAGGUUACAAGGUUUGGGGACAGUCGUUCGGAGGUGGCCACAGGCCAUCUGGGGUAAACCUUAAUGUCUUGUGCAAAAGCGUCUCACCCUCCCCCUACAUUCCCGUCUCGUUCCUUCUCCAAUCAAUAAGAAAUAUCAGCUAUUUAGCAGUUUUU
rnacentral:lncRNA from 1 species